rnacentral:lncRNA from 1 species
GACCCCAACGCUCACCUGGUGAACGCCGCCAAGAUUGGCCAGGCGCAGGUGGCGCUGGCCACGCAGUUCACGCUGCCCGGCGCCGCCGCCGUGCCGGGCCUGGCGGGCGCGGCCGCCGGCGUCCCGGGCCUGGCGGGCGCGGCCGCCGGCGUCCCGGGCCUGGCGGGGCUGAUGGUGACGACGCCCACGGCCAUUGUGCUCCUGGAGAACAUGGUCACGUGCGGGACCAUCCGCGACGACACCGAGCGGAAAGAGGUGAGGU